rnacentral:rRNA from 1 species
AUUGAACGCUGGCGGCAGGCCUAACACAUGCAAGUCGAACGGUAACAGGAAACAGCUUGCUGUUUCGCUGACGAGUGGCGGACGGGUGAGUAAUGUCUGGGAAACUGCCUGAUGGAGGGGGAUAACUACUGGAAACGGCAGCUAAUACCGCAUAACGUCGCAAGACCAAAGAGGGGGACCCUCGGGCCUCUUGCCAUCGGAUGUGCCCAGAUGGGAUUAGCUUGUUGGUGGGGUAACGGCUCACCAAGGCGACGAUCCCUAGCUGGUCUGAGAGGAUGACCAGCCACACUGGAACUGAGACACGGUCCAGACUCCUACGGGAGGCAGCAGUGGGGAAUAUUGCACAAUGGGCGCAAGCCUGAUGCAGCCAUGCCGCGUGUAUGAAGAAGGCCUUCGGGUUGUAAAGUACUUUCAGCGGGGAGGAAGGGAGUAAAGUUAAUACCUUUGCUCAUUGACGUUACCCGCAGAAGAAGCACCGGCUAACUCCGUG